AUUGAACGCUGGCGGCAGGCCUAACACAUGCAAGUCGAGCGGAUGAAGGGAGCUUGCUCCUGGAUUCAGCGGCGGACGGGUGAGUAAUGCCUAGGAAUCUGCCUGGUAGUGGGGGAUAACGUCCAGAAACGGGCGCUAAUACCGCAUACGUCCUGAGGGAGAAAGUGGGGGUUCUUCGGACCUCACGCUAUCAGAUGAGCCUAGGUCGGAUUAGCUAGUUGGUGGGGUAAAGGCCUACCAAGGCGACGAUCCGUAACUGGUCUGAGAGGAUGAUCAGUCACACUGGAACUGAGACACGGUCCAGACUCCUACGGGAGGCAGCAGUGGGGAAUAUUGGACAAUGGGCGAAAGCCUGAUCCAGCCAUGCCGCGUGUGUGAAGAAGGUCUUCGGAUUGUAAAGCACUUUAAGUUGGGAGGAAGGGCAGUAAGUUAAUACCUUGCUGUUUUGACGUUACCAACAGAAUAAGCACCGGCUAACUUCGUG
rnacentral:rRNA from 1 species